rnacentral:rRNA from 1 species
CCAGCCUGCCAGUGACUACAAGUUCAACGGCCGCGGUAUUUUGACCGUGCAAAGGUAGCGCAAUCACUUGUCUUUUAAAUAGAGACCUGUAUGAAUGGCUAAACGAGGGCUUAACUGUCUCCCCUUUCCAGUCAGUGAAAUUGAUCUGCCCGUGCAGAAGCGGACAUAAAAAUACAAGACGAGAAGACCCUUUGGAGCUUAAGGUACAAAACUCAACCACGUCAAGCAACUCAAUAAAAAGCAAAAACUUUGUGGAAUAUGAGAUUUUACCUUCGGUUGGGGCGACCACGGAGGAAAACAAAGCCUCCAAGUGGAUUGGGAAAACCUCCUAAAACCAAGAGAGACAUCUCUAAGCCACAGAACAUCUGACCAAACAUGAUCCGGCUGCCCGAAGCCGAUCAACGAACCAAGUUACCCUAGGGAUAACAGCGCAAUCCUCUCCCAGAGUCCAUAUCGACGAGAGGGUUUACGACCUCGAUGUUGGAUCAGGACAUCCUAAUGGUGCAGCCGCUAUUAAGGGUUCGUUUGUUCAACGAUUAAAGUCCUACGUGAUCUGAGUUC